AGGGCACAGCACCCUGAACACACUUGGUCUCAGAAAAUAAGCAGGGUCUGGCCUGGUUAGUACUUGAGUGGAGGCGUGAGAUAGUCCAGGUCAGUAACGCUC
rnacentral:rRNA from 14 species